UUGACACGAGCGGACCUCACCUGUGAACCCUCCUGUGAACCCUCCUGUGAACCCAAACCUGUGAAGGAAACUCUGAGACUUUUGCACUGCUUGAGUCUUUUUGUUGGAAACAAAACUUGUUGUCUUACAGAACUACACGAGAUCCGGACUACGAGAGACCGAGAGCCGAGGACGAGCCCCUGCUGAAGCGACCGGGCUGUGAUUUGGACCAUAAGUGACUGACUUCCUCCCGAGAAGCCUGAGAAUGGAGGACCACCUGUACGCACGGGGCGACGCCAGAGCUGUUGGCGACUUCGUUGGAGCUGCGCCGCCACCCCCCCCUCCCAGCCCCCCGGCGGCAGCCAUCGGCAUCGACUACGGAGGUAAGAAAUCAGAGCAAUG